rnacentral:rRNA from 1 species
UUGCCUACGGGGCGCAGCAGUGAGGAAUAUUGGUCAAUGGGCGCAAGCCUGAACCAGCCAAGUCGCGUGAGGGAAGACGGCCCUACGGGUUGUAAACCUCUUUUGCCGGGGGGCAAGCCUGAGCACGUGUGCCCAGGCGGAGAGUACCCGGAGAAAAAGCAUCGGCUAACUCCGUGCCAGCAGCAGCGGUAAUACGGAGGAUGCGAGCGUUAUCCGGAUUUAUUGGGUUUAAAGGGUGCGCAGGCGGGCUGUUAAGCCGGCGGUAAAACUUCAGGGCUCAACCCUUG